rnacentral:rRNA from 1 species
CUACGGGUUGCACCAGUGAGGAAUAUUGGUCAAUGGACGGAAGUCUGAACCAGCCAAGUCGCGUGAAGGAUGAAGGUAUUAUGUAUUGUAAACUUCUUUAGUAGCAGAGUAAUAAGGGUCUCGUGAGGCCCGAUGCAAGUAUGCUAAGAAUAAGGAUCGGCUAACUCCGUGCCAGCAGCCGCGUGUAAUACGGAGGAUCCGAGCGUUAUCCGGAUUUAUUGGGUUUAAAGGGUGCGUAGGCGGUUCUUUAAGUCAGCGGUCAAAACAUGGGGCUCAACCCCAUCUCGCCGUUGAAACUGGAGGACUUGAUUUCGCACGAGGUUGGCGGAAUUCGUUGUGUAGCGGUGAAAUGCAUAGAUAUGACGAAGAACUCCGAUUGCGUAGGCAGCUGACCAGGGCGACAAUGACGCUGAGGCACGAAAGUGCGGGGAUCGAACAGGAUUAGAUACCCGUGUAGUC